rnacentral:rRNA from 1 species
UACAGAGGGGCAAGCGUUAUUCGGAAUUAUUGGGCGUAAAGGGCGCGUAGGCGGCUUUUCAAGUGACGGGUGAAAUCCCUCGGCUUAACCGAGGAACUGCCUGUCAGACUGGAAGGCUUGAGACCGGGAGAGGUGAGUGGAAUUCCCAGUGUAGCGGUGAAAUGCGUAGAUAUUGGGAGGAACACCAGUGGCGAAGGCGGCUCACUGGACCGGAACUGACGCUGAGGCGCGAAAGCGUGGGGAGCAAACAGG